CUCUCCAAAGACACAUCCUCAUAUAUCACUUUUUUAUCGUCAUCUGCUUCUUCCUUUUUGUCUGCCUCAACAUGUGAGCUCUUGAUUCUAGCAUGACCAUCAAUGAACCGAUCAACAACAGCCUGGAGAUUGCUAUCAGCUUCAAUCUUCUCAAUGUCAGAUCCACACAGUGGACGAUUUGCAAUAAACAUGAGAGCAAGGCACACAUCUGCUACUCUCAAAGAGAAGUGCUUGGCAUAAAACACAACUGAGAGGCCCAAUUUUAAAUGUUUGAGAAUCAUAUCCUAAGGGACCCUUUGGAGAAAUGCUGCCAGAUUUAGCGCUGGCAGAAUCAUAUCCAAAGGGACACUUCGGAGAAAUGCUGGAAGAUUCUCCAGACUAUUUCUUCCCCUUCCUGCCGUGCUCCGUCCCAUGUUUGCUCGGAAUUUCCCCCGGUUUCUUCGACGUCGAAUCAUCAGGGCCCGCAGCUUUCAUAAAGGGACAGACUGGCGUCAUCUGGAGAGGCAAACUACCAAUUCUGCAUCAAACACAACGAAUUGCAGCGAGAAAGAAGGGUAUGGGGUAGCUUAGUAGGAAGUGUGAGUGGAAAAAGCCCUAAGCUUCGAGUUUGGCUUCUGUCGUCGGUCGUCGGUCGUCGUUCUGGGUCUGUAUUGGACAUUGCAGGAGUCUGCCUUGUUUUCUCUUUUUUUUUUUUUUUUUNNNNNNNNAUUUUCCGAUUUCAAUUUUGCUCAAAUUUGCAGAUUUUUAUUAAUUUAUUUUCUUUUUAAU
rnacentral:misc_RNA from 1 species